rnacentral:rRNA from 1 species
CCUACGGGAGGCAGCAGUGGGGGAUAUUGCACAAUGGGGGGAACCCUGAUGCAGCGACGCCGCGUGGGUGAAGAAGCGCCUCGGCGCGUAAAGCCCUAUCAGCAGGGAAGAAAAUGACGGUACCUGAAUAAGAAGCCCCGGCUAACUACGUGCCAGCAGCCGCGGUAAUACGUAGGGGGCAAGCGUUAUCAGGCUUUACUGGGUGUAAAGGGGGCGCAGACGGGGAUGCAAGUCAGAAGUGAAAGCCCGGGGCCCAACCCCGGGACUGCUCUUGAAACUGGGUAGCUGGAGUGCAGGAGGGGUAAGCGGAAUUCCUGGUGUAGCGGUGAAAUGCGUAGAUAUCAGGAGGAACACCGGUGGCGAAGGCGGCCUGCUGGACUGCAACUGACGUUGAGGCCCGAAAGCGUGGGGAGCAAACAGGAUUAGAUACCCUUGUAGUC